rnacentral:rRNA from 1 species
CUUAAAGGAAUUGACGGGGCCCGCACAAGCGGUGGAGCAUGUGGUUAAUUCGAAGCAACGCGAAGAACCUUACCAGGUCUUGACAUCCCGAUGCUAUUUCUAGAGAUAGAAAGUUACUUCGGUACAUCGGUGACAGGUGGUGCAUGGUUGUCGUCAGCUCGUGUCGUGAGAUGUUGGGUUAAGUCCCGCAACGAGCGCAACCCCUAUUGUUAGUUGCCAUCAUUCAGUUGGGCACUCUAGCGAGACUGCCGGUAAUAAACCGGAGGAAGGUGGGGAUGACGUCAAAUCAUCAUGCCCCUUAUGACCUGGGCUACACACGUGCUACAAUGGUUGGUACAACGAGUUGCGAGUCGGUGACGGCGAGCUAAUCUCUUAAAGCCAAUCUCAGUUCGGAUUGUAGGCUGCAACUCGCCUACAUGAAGUCGGAAUCGCUAGUAAUCGCGGAUCAGCACGCCGCGGUCGAAUACGUUCCGGGCCUU